AAACCGUGUUAUGGGAAUGAACUAACAAGAUCCUUGAACCGCUCCUAGCAUUGGAAGAAUGUUUCAUCUUCCUUUUAGGCGAAGUUCGUGAUUGACUUUCUGAGGAU